rnacentral:rRNA from 1 species
AAGUCGUACGGAGAGUGGGGCAACUCACUCUCAGUGGCAAACGGGUGAGUAACGCGUGAAUAACCUGCCUUUGAGAAGGGGAUAACUGUCCGAAAGGAUAGCUAAUACCCUAUAUUGCCUUUUGUCACUAAGGCAAAAGGUGAAAGCGAGGCUGUCAAAGGCUUCGACUCAAAGAGGGGUUCGCGUCCUAUCAGGUAGUUGGUGGGGUAAUGGCCUACCAAGCCAAUGACGGGUAGCUGGUCUUAGAGGAUGAUCAGCCACAGUGGGACUGAGACACGGCCCGCACCCCUACGGGGGGCAGCAGUGGGGAAUCGUGGGCAAUGGACGAAAGUCUGACCCCGCAAUGCCGCGUGAGGGAAGAAGCCCUUCGGGGUGUAAACCUCUGUCAGAUGGGAAGAU